GACGAACGCUGGCGGCGUGCUUAACACAUGCAAGUCGAACGCUGAAGCUCAGCUUUUGUUGGGUGGAUGAGUGGCGAACGGGUGAGUAACACGUGAGUAACCUGCCUCCUUCUUUGGGAUAACGCCCGGAAACGGGUGCUAAUACUGGAUAUUCACUGGUCUUCGCAUGGGGGUUGGUGGAAAGGGUUUUUCUGGUGGGGGAUGGGCUCGCGGCCUAUCAGCUUGUUGGUGGGGUGAUGGCCUACCAAGGCUUUGACGGGUAGCCAGCCUGAGAGGGUGACCGGUCACAUUGGGACUGAGAUACGGCCCAGACUCCUACGGGAGGCAGCAGUGGGGAAUAUUGCACAAUGGGCGCAAGCCUGAUGCAGCGACGCCGCGUGAGGGAUGGAGGCCUUCGGGUUGUGAACCUCUUUCGCUCAUGGUCAAGCCGCAACAAUGGUUGUGGUGAGGGUAGUGGGUAAAGAAGCGCCGGCUAACUACGUG
rnacentral:rRNA from 1 species